AUGUUAAAACCCAGUAAGCUAGAUCACGUAACCAUGCCACAAGAUCAAGUAGCUAUGAGUCAAGCUAUUCAGGAUAUGCAUGCAAUGAUAACUGCACUGAAUACUAAAAUUCAAAAUCUCGAAGCUGAGAAGGCUCAAAAUCGGCAGCAAUGCCCUUAUGAAAAAACCAUGAUUAAUUUUUUGAGCACCAUUCCAGAAUUUGAUGGAAAAUGUCCGCAAACAUUGCCUUCUUUUAUUCGUACUUGUGAUGAAGCUGUAACGUUGUUUUGGAAAAACGAAUAUCAAUUACAGAAUAGGAUCAUGAUGAAUAAAUUUAUCAGCAAAUUAAAAGGUUCCGCUGCUGAAAUGGUAGCCAAUCGUGAGUUCAUCACUUGGCCUCCGUUAAAGAAAUUUUUACUAGAAUUUUAUGGUGAUAGAGAGAAUGCUGCUACUUUAAUGUUUCGUAGUGCUAAUGUUAAACAAACCCCUCAGGAAUCGGCAACUACAUUUUUGAAUAAAAUUAUUUCCACAGCUAAUAAAGCCCUCAACCAUUUGCAAACGUACGAUUCUGAAAUGACAGCUAAAGAGUUGCUCGAAAAUUAUUUUUUGCAUUUAUCAUUGGAAAAUAUUAAAGAGCCACUGGCUUCGCAUCUUAAGGCCCGGGAUCCAAAAACAUUGGGAGAAGUACAAAAUCUUCUAUGUAAUGUAUUUCCUCAAUAUGACGUGAAACUUCGUACGAAUGAAACUCCUACGACAUCGAAAGAAUCCCCACGGUUCCCUAAUUUUAAACAAUUCCAGAAACCCUUUAUUAAAUCGAACUUCCAGAAUCAGUCAAGACCCCAACCUCAGAAUCAACAACGAAAUUUCCCAACACCCUCCGGAAAACCUAACCUUCCGAAUAAUGCUCCUGUUCCCAUGUCUGGUGUUAGUCGACCCCCUUUUCGGAAUAACCAGUUCAACCUUUCGGACCAACCUGUAGAAGACCCUUCCGAAAUCGACGAAGUACCCAUAGAAAACGAUUUUAUUGAUGAAACUCCUGAACAAGAACAAUUCAAUGAUGAAUCUGAAGAAAAUUUUUGCGUACUAGCCUCGGUGAAACUAAUCUAA
rnacentral:lncRNA from 1 species